rnacentral:rRNA from 1 species
AACAGCUAAAAUUUACUUGAUUUUGACACUAUCCUACAUGGAUAACUGUGGUAAUUCUGGAGCUAAUACAUGCAUAAAAGCUGAAACUCACGUUUCAGUGCAUUUAUUAUAACAAAACCAAGCAUCUUCGGAUGUGUUUUGUUGACUCUGAAUAAACCUUGCUGAUCGCAUAGUCUUGUACUGGCGACAUGUCAUUCAAGUGUCUGACCUAUCAACUGUAUAUAUAAGUAUAUAGUACUUAUAUGGUUUUGACGGGUAACGGAGAAUUAGGGUUCGACUCCGGAGAAAAUGCCUGAGAAACGGCGUUUACAUCCAAGGAAGGCAGCAGGCGCGAAAAUUACCCACUCUCAGUACGAGGAGGUAGUGACGAGAAAUGACAAGAUCUAGUCCUUCGGGGCUGGAUCAUUGGAAUGGUUUGAUUUUAAAACCAUUAAAGAGUAUCAAUGAGAGGGCAAGUCUGGUGCCAGCAGCCGCGGUAAUUCCAGCUCUCAUACUGCAUUGAAUUGUUGUUGCGGUUAAAAAGCUCGUAGUUGGAUCUGUACACGAUAGGAUGGUUCACCCUUUGGGUUGUAACUAUUACUAAGUGUUUUUUAUCAGAUUUUAUGCGCGUUUACGCGUAUAUGUCUGAUGAGUUUACUUUG